UGGUCUGGGGAUCUUGGAUCGUCGGACGCGCUUCAAGGCAUUGAAGCCGUUUUAACAAACCACACGACCACACAACACCGUUCGCAUUGUUUUCAGGUUUACGCGGAAGCCGGCAAUAUCGCCAUGACCUCGUAGCGCAUGCAUUUUCUGGCAAAGCACUGGAAGCGGCUGCUAUUCCGUGCCGUUUUUCCGAAUGCCCCGUUCCAUUGAUCAGCGCGCGAAGGGAGUGGCCAUCUGUGGAGCACUGGCCAUGAGCAUUAACUGCGAGAGUUGUCAUAGCGACACAAUGUUUGUACACAACGUGCCAAGUUCUAUCGCACUGCGAACGCGAUGUCUUCGGACGACGACGAAUCGUCCUGGGUUUUCGAGUCCCUGGUGGGCUACCUGCGCGGUCCCGCGUGGAACAUUCCGAUCAUAACUUUCAUCGAACAGAAAUCGAUCGUGUUCGAACCAGGAUGCGACAACGAGGAAUACCGAAAGAUACACAACGAGUACAAGAACCUGGUUGACUUCAUGCUGGGAAGUCACAUGGAAGACAUGGGAAUAACACCUGAACAGUUCGAGAAAGUCUGCGGUAAACCUAACAGGGGCAUAGCUGCCAAAUUUCAUCAGGGUCUCUUCGAGCAAGUCUGGGCAGCAGAUGAUUAUGAAAUCUUCAAGCGCAUGAUGACUCAGAAGAACAUUGACCUUCAGCUUCAGGCACUGGAGAUCAUGGCUCAGCGGUACGGUCUCGUGCCGGACUCAUUCCAGGGUGAACCACAGGGUGCGACGGACGAUGCUGAGAAGGCGGAUGAGAAGAGCAGCAAAGAUGACGAGGAGGCUCUCAUGGCUCACGUCAUGAAGAAGUCACUGGAAGAAGAGGCAACAGCGAAGGAACAAGAGACGAUGGAAGAGAAGCUUAUUCAGGAAGCCAUUCAGGCCACUCUCCUGGAAAAGCAGCGCCUUGAAGCAGAAAGUAGCAAGGAGAAAGAACUCUUGGACAAGGCUCUCAAGUUGUCCCUAGCGGAGUCGCCACAACCUCCCGCUGAAAGUGAAGAAACCGUGCCCAAGGAAAAACCGAGCGGUGAAGCAGGGAGUGAGGAACGAAAUGCUGCCAUGGAGGUACAUACCACUCUUGGACAGUUACUAGUUACUGGACGACGAACUGGCGUGGCGGCACCGAGCGACUACCGAGGAAGUCAACCAGCGCCGAGAGUACCUUCGCAACCAGCGGGACAAGCUGGUGGCGCUGAAACGUGCGGAGCGAGAGAAGCAACUUAACAGCACACUCGAGCGAGACGAGCCACAGCGCCCCCGCUCUGCCAGGGCUGCCAGGGCCGCCCUCGGAGGCACCGUGACGCUCGAGACACCCAAUGUGGCCGAUCAGGGGAACCUCGCCUUCCGUAAAUCGCUGGCUGCCCGCCUCAAAGCUGAAGUCAUAGAUUCAUAGAGUCCUUGUCCUGCCUUUGCCUGUGGCAACCUCAAAUCUCUCAAGUAUUGCUGCUGAUGAAGCUUAUGACAUUACUAGCACAAGCGAGCAGCCCAGCCUAGAAGACUGCAUUGAACAUUUAUGAUCAAUUGUGUCGCUUACUGUUGAAUGCGUAUCCUGAGCAAAAGGCUUAAUAAAUAUGUUGUUUAUUGUUCCAU
rnacentral:misc_RNA from 1 species